rnacentral:rRNA from 1 species
UACGGGGGGAGCAAGCGUUGUUCGGAUUUACUGGGCGUAAAGGGCGCGUAGGCGGCCUGUGCAAGUCAGUUGUGAAAUCUCCGAGCUUAACUCGGAACGGUCAACUGAUACUGCUCGGCUAGAGUGCGGAAGGGGCAACUGGAAUUCUUGGUGUAGCGGUGAAAUGCGUAGAUAUCAAGAGGAACACCUGCGGCGAAGGCGGGUUGCUGGGCCGACACUGACGCUGAGGCGCGAAAGCUAGGGGAGCGAAUGGG